UGGGGAAUAUUGCACAAUGGGCGCAAGCCUGAUGCAGCGACGCCGCGUGAGGGAUGACGGCCUUCGGGUUGUAAACCUCUUUCAGCAGGGAAGAAGCGAGAGUGACGGUACCUGCAGAAGAAGCGCCGGCUAACUACGUGCCAGCAGCCGCGGUAAUACGUAGGGCGCAAGCGUUGUCCGGAAUUAUUGGGCGUAAAGAGCUUGUAGGCGGUUGGUCGCGUCUGCUGUGAAAACCCGAGGCUCAACCUCGGGCGUGCAGUGGGUACGGGCCGACUAGAAUGUGGUAGGGGAGACUGGAAUUCCUGGUGUAGCGGUGAAAUGCGCAGAUAUCAGGAGGAACACCGAUGGCGAAGGCAGGUCUCUGGGCCAUUAUUGACGCUGAGAAGCGAAAGCAUGGGGAGCGAACA
rnacentral:rRNA from 1 species